AUUGAACGCUGGCGGCAGGCCUAACACAUGCAAGUCGAACGAGUGGCGGACGGGUGAGUAAUGUCUGGGAAACUGCCCGAUGGAGGGGGAUAACUACUGGAAACGGUAGCUAAUACCGCAUACCCUCGGAUGUGCCCAGAUUGGAUUAUCUAGUAGGUGGGGUAACGGAUCACCUAGGCGACGAUCCCUAGCUGGUCUGAGAGGAGGACCAGCCACACUGGAACUGAGACACGGUCCAGACUCAUACGGGAUGCAGCGGUGGGGAAUAUUGCACAAGGGGCGCAAGCCUGAUGCAGACAUGCCGAGUGUAUGAAGAAGGCCUUCGGGUUGUAAAGUACUUUCAGCGAGGAGGAGUUACUCGCAGAAGAAGCACCGGCUAACUCCGUGCCAGCAGCCGCGGUAAUUC
rnacentral:rRNA from 1 species